rnacentral:rRNA from 1 species
GACGAACGCUGGCGGCGUGCUUAACACAUGCAAGUCGAACGGAAAGGCCCUGCUUUUGUGGGGUGCUCGAGUGGCGAACGGGUGAGUAACACGUGAGUAACCUGCCCUUGACUUUGGGAUAACUUCAGGAAACUGGGGCUAAUACCGGAUAGGAGCUCCUGCUGCAUGGUGGGGGUUGGAAAGUUUCGGCGGUUGGGGAUGGACUCGCGGCUUAUCAGCUUGUUGGUGGGGUAGUGGCUUACCAAGGCUUUGACGGGUAGCCGGCCUGAGAGGGUGACCGGCCACAUUGGGACUGAGGUACGGCCCAGACUCCUACGGGAGGCAGCAGUGGGGAAUAUUGCACAAUGGGCGGAAGCCUGAUGCAGCAACUCCGCGUGCGGGAUGACGGCCUUCGGGUUGUAAACCGCUUUCGCCUGUGACGAAGCGUGAGUGACGGUAAUGGGUAAAGAAGCACCGGCUAACUACGUG